rnacentral:tRNA from 1 species
UUAGAAAGAAGGGGCUCGAACCCUUGCCAAAGAGCUCAAAACUCUUAGUGCUUCCUUUACACCACUCUCUA